rnacentral:pre_miRNA from 1 species
AAAACGCUUCCUAAUUUUUGCAACUGUAACAGUUUUGUCCCCCAAAAUCAAUUUAUGUUAAAAAAUAUAUAUAAUACGUGGCACCUCACAUAGACUGCCACGUCAACGUAUACCGAGUCAACAUUGACAUUGGGGGCCAAAACUGCCACAGAUGCAAAACUUAGGGGGCGUUUU